UACGAGGGGGGCGAGCGUUGUUCGGAUUUACUGGGCGUAAAGGGCGCGUAGGCGGCCACCGCAAGUCGACUGUGAAAUCUCCGGGCUUAACCCGGAAAGGUCAGCCGAUACUGCGGGGCUAGAGUGCAGAAGGGGCAACUGGAAUUCUCGGUGUAGCGGUGAAAUGCGUAGAUAUCGAGAGGAACACCUGCGGCGAAGGCGGGUUGCUGGGCUGACACUGACGCUGAUGCGCGAAAGCUAGGGGAGCGAACGGG
rnacentral:rRNA from 1 species